ACCCUCUCAGGGUGGCACCUGGAGAGUUUCCGGUCCUCUACCAGUCUCGACUACGGGAGGGAGAGUCAAGCCGAGGCCCGUCCAGUCCAUUCCUAGCCUGGCCAGCGGCUAGCGAGUGGAAGGCCAUCGGCUACAAAU